rnacentral:rRNA from 1 species
UGGGGAAUAUUGGACAAUGGGCGCAAGCCUGAUCCAGCAAUGCCGCGUGAGUGAUGAAGGCCUUAGGGUUGUAAAGCUCUUUCGCACGUGACGAUAAUGACGGUAACGUGAGAAGAAGCCCCGGCUAACUUCGUGCCAGCAGCCGCGGUAAUACGAAGGGGGCUAGCGUUGUUCGGAAUUACUGGGCGUAAAGGGCGCGUAGGCGGCCUGUUUAGUCGGAAGUGAAAGCCCCGGGCUCAACCUGGGAAUUGCUUUCGAUACUGGCAGGCUUGAGUUUCGGAGAGGAUGGUGGAAUUCCCAGUGUAGAGGUGAAAUUCGUAGAUAUUGGGAAGAACACCGGUGGCGAAGGCGGCCAUCUGGACGAACACUGACGCUGAGGCGCGAAAGCGUGGGGAGCAAACAGG